UACGUAGGGGGCUAGCGUUGUCCGGAAUCAUUGGGCGUAAAGCGCGUGUAGGCGGCCCGGUAAGUCCGCUGUGAAAGUCGGGGGCUCAACCCUCGAAAGCCGGUGGAUACUGUCGGGCUAGAGUACGGAAGAGGCGAGUGGAAUUCCUGGUGUAGCGGUGAAAUGCGCAGAUAUCGGGAGGAACACCAGUAGCGAAGGCGGCACUCUGGGCCGGUACUGACGCUGAGGAGCGAAAGCGUGGGGAGCAAACAGG
rnacentral:rRNA from 1 species